CAACGCACCGCCAGUCAGCUCACCCGGAGGACGGCAGGCGGCGGCUCUGAUUGGUCGCUCGGACCCGUCAGUCACGCUGCCAGCUCACCGACCAAUCACGACUCAGGAAACACUGCCCGGCAUCGGAGGGAGGCGGAGCCAAGCGUUUAAAGGAGCCUCCAGCUGAUCUCACACCUGUCUAUGAACCACAGCAGCUGUUCGGUCACGUGUUCUCCGGUAACCGGCCUCCUCCGGUGUUUCUGUGAUCGUGCUGUAAAGCAGGGAGGAAGGACCUGCAGUAUCUCUUCUUCAGAACCAGUCUGUCUCUGAAGGACCUCCAGUGAUGGUUCUGGUUCCUGCAGGCGGUGGAGGUGUCCUCCAUGAUGGACAACAGCUCUGUCAUCGUCCUCCUGUCUCCACCUUCUCCACAGCAUCCAGGGUUCAGCCCAGGACAGAUCUGACUUUCUGAACCAUUUAUUCUCUUCCUGUCCUGCUCCAGCAGAUCUCCAUACAGGAUGGAUGAUGUUCCACAGAAUCAUAUAAUGUCCUCAGAAGUUUCCUGCACCUGGAAUGUCCAUAGGGACAAGAUGGGGCAGGAAAGCCCUGUGGGGGAGGGCAGGAGUGAUGGUAGGAGGUCAAGAAUGCAGUGGGGGUGGUGCAGUCAGUAGGGUGGACUGGACCAGGGGAGGGAUGGCUGUAGGACUGUACUGGGGAGGCUGUAGAACUGGACAAAAAUGAUCCAAAUAACAAAAAAGAAAUCAAGAAAAUGACUUCAAUUCACACUGAAUGUCUAAUAACUGAAAAGGGCUUGAAAAUAUUAAUUUAAAUGACAAAAAUGUCCAAAUUGACAACAAAAAAAUGUUGAAAAUGACUUGAACUUACGAUAAAUGUCUAAAAAAAACCUGAAAAGUGUCCAAAAUGACAAAAAAAAAGUUCUUAAAAUAUUUACAGAAAUGACAAAAACUGUCCUAAAUUACAAAACAUGUCCAGUGAUGUACAAAAUGUAUUCUGUAAAAAAAAAGAGAAUUUCCAGACCAUGACAAGUUGAUUUGAUCAUAAAAUGAAAUACUAUAUUGUUCUUUUGUUGUUUUGUGUCUCAUUUUUGGAACAAGUUGUUUUGUUUUCUGUUGUUUUUUGUCUUGUCUGAAUGUUGUUGUUUUGAUCAUGACUAAAUGUUGUGUGUCUUUGUAGACACUCUGAUCUGGAAGCUGUAAUGUGGAAAUGAUAAACUGAGGCAUAUUUUCACUGAAAUUGCAUUCAUUUUUUUAUUCUGAACAUUUGAAGAACAGACUUUUGUACAUGAAAACAAAGGAAAAUGUGGAGUUUUAUGGGUUAAUAUGCUGUAAUUGAACUGGUCCAGUCCACCUGAGAUCAAACUGGGCCAAAUGUGGAACCUGAACUGAAAUGAUUUUGACUCUGCUGUAGCUGAUAAAUAUACAUAUAAACAGUGGGUACGGAAAGUAUUCAGACCCCUUGAAAUUCUCACUCUCUGUGUCAUUGCAGACAUUUAUCUAACAUUAAAUAAAACAAACCCUUCCAGACCCACAUGACUCAGUAAGUGAAUGGAGGUGAAACGACCUGGAACGAUGUCAGGACGACACUGUGUGUCAUAAUGAGUUUAUAUUUCUUUGGAAUGACUUGAAACUUGUUCAGAACGACUCAAAAUUUGUCAAAAAAGUCCAGAUUGAUUCAAAAUUUUCCCAAAAUGACAAUUUUUUUACAGAAUAAAUUUUAAAAAUGGUCCAAAAUGUGAAAUCACACCCAACAAACUGUCUCCUUUUCUUUUCCUGGUGUGGCAGAACUAUUCUCCACUAAAUGACUUCAUUAAGUCUAAUUAAACACAGAUACACACUGAUGCCUGGAAUACUUCUUGCUCUACUGCAUUCCACCUCACCAACCCCACCUGAUACCUGUUUAAAGGUUUAAUUAACUGCUGAGCAGGAAGAAGAAGAAUUCCUCCUCUCACAGAUGAAGUUAAAUCCCCAGAUUAGUUCACUUUAUAUCUAGACUGUGUCUGACAGACAAAGGUUACUCAGACUGUAUCACAAAAUCAAAGUAUGGUAAGAAAACACACAUGGACAUGUUUUUGUAACACCUCCUUGUGGCCACAGGAGGCACCGUUCAGCAACUCUACAGUCCAGCUGGACAGCGUUGGAAUCUUUAUUCUACAGCGGGUACAGAAAGUAUUCAGACUCCUUGAAAUGUUUCACUCUCUGUGUCAUUGCAGCCAUUUGCCAAAAUCAAAAAAGUUCUUUUUAUUUUUCAUUAAUGUACACUCAGCACCCCAUCUUGACAGAAAAGAACAG